rnacentral:rRNA from 1 species
AGUGAACGCUGGCGGUAGGCCUAACACAUGCAAGUCGAACGGCAGCACAGUAAGAGCUUGCUCUUACGGGUGGCGAGUGGCGGACGGGUGAGGAAUACAUCGGAAUCUACUUUUUCGUGGGGGAUAACGUAGGGAAACUUACGCUAAUACCGCAUACGACCUACGGGUGAAAGCAGGGGAUCUUCGGACCUUGCGCGAUUGAAUGAGCCGAUGUCGGAUUAGCUAGUUGGCGGGGUAAAGGCCCACCAAGGCGACGAUCCGUAGCUGGUCUGAGAGGAUGAUCAGCCGCACUGGGACUUAGACACGGUCCAGACUCCUACGGGAGGCAGCAGUGGGGAAUAUUGGGCACAGGGCGCAAACCUGAUCCAUCCAUACCGCGUGGGUGAAGAAGGCCUUCGGGUUGUAAAGCCCUUUUGUUGGGAAAGAAAAGCAGCAGGUUAAUACCCCGCUGUUCUGACGGUACCCAAAGAAUAAGCACCGGCUAACUUCGUG